GAUGAACGCUAGCGGCAGGCUUAACACAUGCAAGUCGAGGGGUAUAGUUCUUCGGAACUAGAGACCGGCGCACGGGUGCGUAACGCGUAUGCAAUCUACCUUUUGCAGAGGGAUAGCCCAGAGAAAUUUGGAUUAAUACCUCAUAGUAUGUGAGAAUGGCAUCAUUUUCACAUUAAAGUCACAACGGCAAAAGAUGAGCAUGCGUCCCAUUAGCUAGUUGGUAAGGUAACGGCUUACCAAGGCAACGAUGGGUAGGGGUCCUGAGAGGGAGAUCCCCCAACCGGGUACUGAGACACGGACCAGACUCCUACGGGAGGCAGCAGUGAGGAAUAUUGGACAAUGGGCGCAAGCCUGAUCCAGCCAUGCCGCGUGCAGGAUGACGGUCCUAUGGAUUGUAAACUGCUUUUGUACAGGAAGAAACACUGGUUCGUGAACCAGCUUGACGGUACUGUAAGAAUAAGGAUCGGCUAACUCCGUGCCAGCAGCCGCCGUAAGAC
rnacentral:rRNA from 1 species